GAUGAACGCUAGCGGGAGGCUUAACACAUGCAAGUCGAGGGGCAGCACGAGUCCGCCGCAAGGCGGAUUUGGUGGCGACCGGCGCACGGGUGAGUAACGCGUAUGCAACCUACCCUGUACUGGGGGAUAACCCGGAGAAAUUCGGACUAAUAUCCCAUGGAAAUAUCGGAAGGCAUCUUUUGAUAUUUAAAGUUCCGGCGGUACGGGAUGGGCAUGCGUAACAUUAGCUAGUUGGUAAGGUAACGGCUUACCAAGGCUUUGAUGUUUAGGGGUCCUGAGAGGGUGGUCCCCCACACUGGUACUGAGACACGGACCAGACUCCUACGGGAGGCUG
rnacentral:rRNA from 1 species